UGUACGGGCUUGCAGUGUCACACCUAGUGUGAUGGGCACCAUCCUCUCUAGGGAGAGAGAACCUGAGGCCUCUCCCCCUCCCCACCGUACCACCCUUCUCUGCUCCCGAAACACCCACUCCCCACGGCCCCUCGUUCCAGUUCCGAGGCCCAGCCCUGGGGAGGACGCUCCUCUGGGCCCGCAGACAGCCGCCCUCACCCCCGAUCCUCACGUGGUGGUGGACAGAGAGCGUCUCUCAGGUCUCUCAUCCUGGGACACGGAUCCCGUUGGUGGGGCCCCUGCCUCCUAAGGCCAUCAGGCUGGGGCUGGGCCUCGGUGUAGGGAACACAAAUGCCCCCGUCCACAGCCAAGGCCCAGAGGUGACACCCGGCACAAACGGGAGAAAGUCCAGACGCUCAGCCUCAGACACGUCUCGGAGCCUUGCGGAGCGGGGCCUUGAUCACGCGCGUGGCCCCCUCCGUCCUGGAGGCCGGCUCCCUCCCUGGGCCUGGGAGGGGGAGCCCAGCUGUGGGUAGGAGCUCCUGCCCGCAGAGGCCACCUCCCGCUGUCCCCCGGGGAACCUGCACCCGUCAGAGGCCUGGAGAUAGGGCGACAGGUGGCCAGGGGGCCGGGCUGGCCAAGGAGGAGGCGGUGGCUCAGGGACACACCUGCAGACGGUGGAGCUGACCAGUCGCUGGGCACCACGGGGCUGGGCAGUCCAGAGGGGAGAACUCGGCCACCCGCGGAGCAGAGUGAGCGAGGGCCUCGGUGCCCACACCCAGAGCCCGGGCACCACGCCCUCGAUCGCCUUGGCCCAAGUGGAAGGGAAGACAGAGGCACCUGGAACCGAAGGCGGUGGACAGCCAGGUGGACUGGAGACACGAGUCAGUAAGAAGCACACCGGGCCUCAGGCUGGGGUGGCCGCAGGUACGUGGUGGUUCAUCUCCAGCACAAGAUCCGGGUGCAGCCCCAAAGAGGAGAGGAACAAGGUCUGCUUGCAUCUCUGCCAGGAAACACCUGUGGACAGCCAUGGAGCACUCACACACAGCACCCACGUCACCCUCUCACCUCCUCAGAGGAGGUGACGGUCCCUCCCACAGAGGAAACCUUUCUUUAUAAAUGAGUGAGCAUCAUGUUGUAAAUUCACAUCCUCUUUGCCCAGCAAUUCCACUUCUAGACAUGUACGGUGAGGACACGUGCCUAUGCACCAAGGUGAACAUACAAAUAACAUGCAUGACUGUGAAAGUGCCAGAAGGCAUCCUGAAUGUUCUCAUGAAGGAGCGGGUGAGCCAGUCCACACAGGUCUGUGUGUGGAGUACCAUACAGCAGUCAAAAAGAACAAGGCAACCGUAUAAGUCCUGAUUUUUGAGAACCCAAGAGAUACAUUGUUAAGUGAAAAAAAUCAAGAUACAGAAUACUA